rnacentral:tRNA from 1 species
GGGCCUGUAGCUCAGGUGGCUAGAGCGCACCCCUGAUAAGGGUGAGGUCGGUGGUUCAAGUCCACCCAGGCCCA